rnacentral:rRNA from 1 species
GGAAUUUUGGACAAUGGGGGCAACCCUGAUCCAGCCAUGCCGCGUGUGUGAAGAAGGCCUUCGGGUUGUAAAGCACUUUCGGACGGAACGAAAUCGCGUUGGUGAAUAUCCCGCGUGGAUGACGGUACCGUAAGAGGACGCACCGGCUAACUACGUUCCAGCAGCCGCGGUAAUACGUCGGGUGCGAGCGUUAAUCGGAAGUACUGGGCGUAAAGUGUGCGCAGGCGGCGUCGCAAGUCGAGUGUGAAAGCCCCGGGCUUAACUUGGGAAUUGCGCUCGAAACUACGGUGCUGGAGUGUGGCAGAGGAAGGUGGAAUUCCACGUGUAGCGGUGAAAUGCGUAGAGAUGUGGAGGAACACCGAUGGCGAAGGCAGCCUUCUGGGCCAACACUGACGCUCAUGCACGAAAGCGUGGGGAGCA